UACGAAGGGGGCUAGCGUUGCUCGGAAUUACUGGGCGUAAAGGGAGCGUAGGCGGAUAGUUUAGUCAGAGGUGAAAGCCCAGGGCUCAACCCUGGAAUUGCCUUUGAUACUGGCUAUCUUGAGUAUGGGAGAGGUUAGCGGAACUCCGAGUGUAGAGGUGAAAUUCGUAGAUAUUCGGAAGAACACCAGUGGCGAAGGCGGCUAACUGGCCCAUUACUGACGCUGAGGCUCGAAAGCGUGGG
rnacentral:rRNA from 1 species